rnacentral:rRNA from 1 species
UACGGAGGGCAGCAGUGGGGAAUAUUGCACAAUGGGCGAAAGCCUGAUGCAGCUAUGCCGCGUGUAUGAAGAAGGCCUUAGGGUUGUAAAGUACUUUCAUCGGGGAGGAAAAACAAAACUAAUAAUUUUAUUUCUUGACGUUACCCGAAAAAGAAGCACCGGCUAACUCCGUGCCAGCAGCCGCGGUAAUACGGAGGGUGCUAGCGUUAAUCAGAAUUACUGGGCGUAAAGAGCACGUAGGUGGUUUUUUUAAGUCAGAUGUGAAAUCCCUGGGCUUAACCUAGGAACUGCAUUUUGAAACUGAAAUACUAGAGUAUCGUAGAGGGAGGUAGAAUUCUAGGUGUAGCGGUGAAAUGCGUAGAUAUCUGGAGGAAUACCUGUGGCGAAAGCGGCCUCCUAAACGAAUACUGACACUGAGGUGCGAAAGCGUGGGGAGCAAACAGGGAUUAGAUACC